rnacentral:rRNA from 1 species
GACGAACGCUGGCGGCGUGCUUAACACAUGCAAGUCGAACGAAGUGGCGAACGGGUGAGUAACGCGUAAUCAACCUGCCCUUCAGAGGGGGACAAAAGCUGGAGCCGACUGCUCAUACCGCAUACUGAAGGAGGGGAUUGCGUCUGCUUAGCUAGUUGGAGGGGUAACGGCCCACCAAGGCGAUGACUAGUAGACUGGCUGAGAGGAUUGACGGCCAAAAUGGGACUGGGACACGGCUCCGACUUCUUAGGGAGGCAGGAAGUGGGGAACAUCCGCAAAGGACGAAAGUCUGACGGAGCAAAGCCGCGUGAGGGAUGAAGGCCUUCGGGUUGUAAAGGUCUGUUAAGCGGGACGCGGUACCGGAAGAGAAAGCCACGGCUAACUACGUGCCAGCAGCCGCGGUAAUAC